rnacentral:rRNA from 1 species
CGAUUUGAAAGAGAUUCUGCCCUAUCAACUUUCAACCGUAGUCUAGUGGACUACGGUGGUGGUAACGGGUACGGGGAAUUAGGGUUCGAUUCCGGAGAGGGAGCCUGAGAAACGGCUCCCACUUCCAAGGAAGGCAGCAGGCGCGUAAAUUAUCCAAUCCUAAUACGGGGAGAUAGUGACAAGAAAUACCGAUGUAGUGGCAUCAAAGCUACUACUAUUGGAAUGAGAACAGCGUAAAUUCCUUAUCGAGGAACUAUUGGAGGGCAAGUCUGGUGCCAGCAGCCGCGGUAAUUCCAGCUCCAAGAGUGUAUAUUAGAGUUGUUGCGGUUAAAAAGCUCGUAGUUGAACUUAGAAAGGGAAUGAAUUUAGAUGCCGGGGUAAAAUCCGGAGAAACAUCUAGCAUUACUCUUUUUAUUUUACUUUUGGGAAAACGUUAAGCGGGUGUAAAAGCUCGUGUUUUUCUAAGGUUUACCUUGAAUGAAUUAGAGUGUUCAAAGCAGACAUAAUCGUCUUGAAUAUUUUAGCAUGGGAUAAUGAAAUAUGACAAGCGGUCAUAAUUUGUUGGUUUCUAGGCGCGUCUUUUGUAAUGAUCGAGAGAAACAGUCGAGGUUGCUGGUAUUCUGCGGUGAGAGGUGAAAUUCUAAGACCCACAGAGGACCGACAAAUGCGAAGGCAUUCAACAAGGAUGUUUUCAUUAAUCAAGAACGAAAGUUGAGGGAUCGAAGAUGAUCAGAUACCGUCGUAGUCUCAACCGUAAACCAUGCAGACUAGGGAUAAGAGGAAGUUACAUGGAUGACUCUUCUUGCACCUUAUUAGCGAAAGCAUUAAGUAUUCGUGCUCCGGGGGGAGUAUGGUCGCAAGACUGAAACUUAAAGGAAUUGACGGAAGGACACCACCAGGCGUGGAAUCUGCGGCUUAAUUUGACUCAACACGGGAAAACUCACCCGAACCGGAUGCCGAUAGGAUUGACAGACUGAUAGCUCUUUCUUGAUUCUGUAGAAGCCGGUGCAUGGCCGUUUUUAGUUGGUGGAGUGAUUUGUCUGCUUAAGUGCGAUAACGAACGAGACCCCAAUAGGUUAAAUAGACGAAGGAACAGGGAGAAAUUACGGAUGUUCGUUUCGAGAUCGAAAGGUUUCGGGAUCUUCCGUUUAACGACUCCGUUCGGUUGUUUCUUAAAGUCUUCUUAGAUAGACACCUUGCGAUAAAAAAUAGCAAGGGGAAGCGUGGGGCAAAAACAGGUCUGUGAUGCCGCUCGAUGCUCGGGGCUGCACGCGCAUUACACUGAAAUGUGCAGCAAGU